UGUCUGAAUAAAAAGAAUUAAUGUUGGUGGCUCAGUGAAAUGAUCAAUGUUGAGAUAGGGAAUUCAGCCAUGGAAGCUCACUCACAAGAUCAACAAGCAUUAUCGUCAAAAAAGAUCAUAAAGCAUUCCACGGUCCUCGGCUUUUACUGGUCUUAAACUGGUUGUACAAAUGUCAUUAUUUCUCCGCUAUGCUUAAGUUGUUCUCAUUAUUCUGUAUAUACUAGAAGCUCAAUCGUUAUCUCCAAUCAUUUGUAGAUACAGAAGAGAGCAGACCACAAGAACAUCAGGCUGCGUCUAUAUGGAAUCGGCACAAAGCAAUGGUGUUAGGGCUCCUUUUGGUGGUUAGACAAACACUACAGGUAGAGGUCAAUCAUUUGCUCAUGAUGGUGUCCAAAAAAUCAACAUCGUUCUAAAUAUGUGGAUGUGGUUGUGCAAUUAUUCUAUUAUUUACAGGUACCAUAAAUCUGGCAUUGAAAUAUACUAAAGUAGCAAUUUUGGUGAAGCCAUCAAAGCAGCUCCAAGUGUUAUUUUGUUAUUGACAUCUUGUUUGACCUCUGGUUUUUCUAGGAUUGAAUAUUUCAUUUUCUGGGAUUGCAAGUCAAGUUACCGUGAGUUUCUGACAAGCUGAUGUUCCCCCAUCAAAUUUGGUGAGGCUUUGUCUACUGUUGUUCAAAUGUGACUGAACUAAAAUGCAUAUGGAUCUGAAUUUCAGCUUCAAAUAACCUUCCUCUUUCUUGGUGCUUGAUAUCUAGCUAUUUUACUAUUGCUAUUAGAAAUAGCUGAACUUAUGUAGCUUUCACACAACAUUACUUCUAUAAUUGCAAUGCUGGAGCUUUUGGUUA